rnacentral:rRNA from 1 species
GACGAACGCUGGCGGCGUGCUUAACACAUGCAAGUCGAACGAAGUGGCGAACGGGUGAGUAACGCGUAAUCAACCUGCCCUUCAGAGGGGGACAACAGUUGGAAACGACUGCUAAUACCGCAUACUGAAGGAGGGGCUUGCGUCUGAUUAGCUAGUUGGAGGGGUAACGGCCCUCCAAGGCGAUGACCAGUAGCCGAUGUGGCAGGAUGAAAUGCCACUGUGGGACUGAGAAACGCCCCAGACUACUACGGGAGGCAGCAGUGGGGAAUCUUCCGCAAUGGACGAAAGUCUGACGGAGCAACGCCGCGUGAGUGAUGACGGACUUCGGGUUGUAAAGCUCUGUUAAACGGGACGCGGUACCGGAAUAGAAAGCCACGGCUAACUACGUGCCAGCAGCCGCGGUAAUAC